UUUAAGCAAAUCACUCAGUGGAGGAAGAGCAAGCAACUGCGAUUGCUUCAGUAACGGCGAGUGAACUGGCAAUGGAUCUCGACCCGAAGUGAUUCCCAACCGCACUCAGUGCGUUCGGCUUUCGUGGGUUUCAGCAUAUGCUGUGGGCUAUGGAGCGAGUGGCAGCUGCCUUGGGUGGCUAUUGCACCAGGAAGCGACCUGGAAUGGUCCACAAGAGAAGGAUACUGUCCUGUACAUCACUGUGUGUGGUGGUCAUCCGAGGUGCUGCUGCUUGCAUCCAGGAGUAGAGUGGCUUGGGACUGCAGUUUGAAGUGCGUGGUGUAUCCAACGCAAGGACGAAUACCGGCUUGAGACCGAUAGCGCACAAGUAGAGUGAUUGAAGGAUGCAAAGGACUUUGCAAAGAGGGUUAAAAGUCCCUGAAGCCGCGGCGGGAACGGCGGUGAAUGGUGCUGUGGCUUUGCGAUCCAGGUGGUUGGCUCGGCUGUUGACGGUGGACUGCCACUGGUUCAGUGAUCUGGAUCAGACCAUCGGCGAUGGCUCGGGUGGAUCAUGCUGAUCGCUGCUGUGAGCUUGGGACGACACCAGCCAAAACUCGGGCCUGACUUCAACACAGCCCGAGGGUGACCCGACCCUGGCCACAGGAUGCAUUGAUUCCAAGCGACCUUGGGCCAGCCCACUGCUGGCUACUGAGCCUAGCUCUCCAGAGUUGGAUGCAAUCGUGGCAGCAAUGUGGUGGCAAUCAGCUUGACUGGGCCUGAGGCUUGAGAUAUCACACAGGGCGUGCAGGAUGCUUCUCAGAGACAGUGGCCGAUAAGCCCACGGCGGGCAUGGUGGUUCCUCAGUCGAGGCUUGCCCAAAGUGCGGUGGUUUUGGACGCUUGGAGAGUGAGAGCAGCUUGUCUCCGAAGAAUUCACACAGCUUGUUCCUGGUGUGUCUGCGGACAUGCCAGUGCUCACGCCCGGCCAUGGCGGAGCUGCUGGUUUGGUUGUGGCUGCACCACUCUGAUGGUGGCCCAGCUGGACUGUCGGUUCUCCAGACGGUGUGUGAUGCUGAAGGCAGUGAAGCUUGGUACAGCAGUGCCAUUCUCUGCCCGUCUUGAAACACGGACCAAGGAGUCUACGGAGCUUGCAGGUUAGCAGGUCAAAAACCGCAGUGCAUGGUGAAGGCAACAAACCCAGAUGGUGCUUGGAAUAUGGCCGACUCAACAAAGGACUGGGCGAGGCUGCUCCCAGGGAAACUCUCAGUAAGAGCUGCUCUCGGCUCUAGUGGUUGUGCAGGACUCUGAUACAGUGGCAUGUGGGAAACGCCCUAACGGGCUCAAAGUCUGUGUCACCAGUGGACUGUGCGCCCAAGGGCUGUUGUGGCUGGAAAGGACGGACCCAGGUGAGUAAGUGCGCUCGGGACUGGCCGAAGCGAGAGUGCAGCAUGGGACACCGGUCCCGAAGUUCAGUGAACAGGGUUCUGAGUGAUUGCAAGGUCCGUGGGACCCGAAAGGUGGUGAACUAUACCGUUCUAUGACGAAGCCGUGGGAAACUGCGGUGGAGGUCAGUCGCUGUUCUGACGUGCAAAUUGUGUAGCCUGAGUGUGGCAUAGGGGUGAAAGGCCAAUCGAGCCACCUAGUAGCUGGUUUCCCUCGAAGUUUCCCUCAGGAUAGCUGGGCUCGAAUGCCAUCGUCCAAGUGAUUGUGUCCGGUAAAGCAACGCAUGAGAGGCAACCCCGGGGAGUUUCUGCUCCUCGACCUAUUCUCGAACUGUGAAUGGGCACGGCAAACACCAAAGGCAUGCUUCUUCACCGUGCUGGAGGCAGUGUUACAGCUGUUCUCCUGGCUUCUGAGCGUGUUCAAGGUGGCAGCCUGCACCUGCCAAAGACUGGAGUUUCAAGGCUGGCUGAGUGUCCCUGAGGGCGAGACGGAGCAUAUACUGGCCCGAGGCAUGCAUCUCUGUGAGGCUGCCCGAUCAGUGGCUGUGUGUGUGUGAAGUCCUCAAGCUUGGGUCGAUUGUCGCUGGCUCUCCGGGCGUGUUCUUCAGACAUCUGUUGUAUGGUUUGUGAGGCUGCUGCUAUGAUGAACAGACGUGCCUAUGUGGGCCAAAAUUGGUAAGCAGUGCUGGCGAUGCGGGGUGCUCCGAGAGCAGACUUAAAGAUCCAGAGUGCUGGCUCAUACCCAGAUCCCACAAAGGAUGUCGCCUGCUAGGGAUAGCAGGACGGUGGCCAUGAAGGUUGGAACCCGCUAAGGAAUGUGUAACAACUCACCUGCCGAAGCGUGCAGCUCCGAAAAUGGAUGGUGCCCAAGUCAGUGAAGCUGAAUUUGCCUUACAGUCUGCCGCCGCUGUGGCAGCAAAGCAGAGCAUCGUUGUGUAGAAUGGACAUGGGAGAUUGCAGUACAAGUUGGGAUUGCUCCCGGCUGAAGUGUCUUCUGGUGCAGAUCUUGGUUGCAGUAGCGAGUACUCCAUCGGGUGAAGAGCAGAACAACCCUGCUGUGUGCGGUUGAGGACUGGAGUGGAGCAGGUUUCCGCACCAAACAGCCGUUGAAUGCGGGUCAGCCGACCGUGAGCCAAGUGGUAAAUCACCGAACAACCAAAGCUGCCGUUCCCUUGGGAGCUGACUGGGCGACUGACUGUGGCACACCGGGUGUUCAAGGUCCUCGGGCCACACCAAUCCAAGGAGCUGUGGGCCGCCAGUUGCUCAGGUCUCAAUGUGUCUUGGCAGGAGUGGCAAACAGGCAAGCAAGUGCAACAUUCUGCUGUGAUGGGCUUGGAGUGCUCAUGGUGGUAACACCAUUGACUGGUGCAAGCAGGUUUCGGGGCAGUGCACUCCCUGAGGAGUUCUCGUUUCCUUCUGAUGCAGACUCAUGCGGGCUAUCGAUUGCAUUUCAUGGUGGAGGGAUAUGCCCUCCGUACAGCAAGGCAGCAUGCUCUCUAUGCUGAUGGUCUCAGACACAAAGCGCUCAAAGCACUGGCAAAGUGUGAAGCUAUUGAUGGUCACUGGCUCCAAUGAACAACCUGCGGGACAAUGUGCUCCUGGUCCCUGGCUUUCGUACUGAAUCACCGCAGCCGGUCUCCUCGACUAGACGUCGCUUGUCCACGGACGAAAUGCAGCUAAGGGAAGUCGGCAAACUAGCCAUGUACCUUUGGAAGAUGUGGUGGCUCCAGAGGUCAAGUCAUCGGGCCCGGCUGUGGGUUGCGUGGCGUGGUGGUGGAUGCCUUCGUGGGCAGCUUCGGCUGUCUGUGUGGGACUGUCUGCCUGCUGCCUGCGCUUCUCCGUGGUCGGGGACUGGUCGGCCCUCGGGCUGGCUGGUCCGUCCUGGUGUCUACUGAGUGACCAAUAUGGAACUGUUGCUGUGCAGGGGAAUCUGACUGUUUAAUUGAAACACAGCUUUGUGACGGGACCAGCUGGCUGGUGCCAUGAGGUGACUUCUGCCCAGUGCUCUGAUUGUUACUGCGAAGAGAUUCAGCCAAGCGCGGGUAAACGGCGGGAGUAACUAUGACUCUCUUAAGGUAGCCAAAUGCCUCGUCAACCAAUUAUUGACGCGCAUGAAUGGAUCAACGAGAUUCCUGCUGUCCCUAGUUGCUGUCUGGUGAACCAACAGCCAAGGGAACGGGCUUGGGUGUGUCAGCGGGGAAAGAA
rnacentral:rRNA from 1 species